rnacentral:rRNA from 1 species
GCGCCGGCAUCAGGCACGCAAUAAGCGGCCCAAAACGCCUUGCUCAGCCACACCCCCAAGGGGCCCCAGCAGUGACAAACAUUAAGCCAUAAGCGAAAGCUUGACUUAACAAGGGCUAACAACAAAGCCGGUAAACCUCGUGCCAGCCACCGCGGUUAUACGAGGGGCUCACAUUGACAUUUUUCGGCGUAAAGGGUGAUUAAAGAAAACCCCACUAAAGCCACAAAAUCCCCAAGCUGUCAUACGCUCAACGGAAGCAUGAGGCCCCACAACGAAAGUAGCUUUAAAAAUUCUUGAACUCACGACAGUCAGGAAACAAACUGGGAUUAGAUACCCCACUAUGCCCGACCGUAAACAAUGACGAUAAUAUACACACAUCCUCCGCCAGGGUACUACGAGCACUAGCUUAAAACCCAAAGGACUUGGCGGUGCCUCAAACCCACCUAGAGGAGCCUGUUCUGUAACCGAUGAUCCUCGUUAAACCUCACCACUUCUUGCCAUCCCUGCCUAUAUACCGCCGUCGCCAGCUUACCUCAUGAGAGACCCAACAGUAAGCUAAAUGGGACACCCCCAAAACGUCAGGUCGAGGUGUAGCGAAUGAAGUGGAAUGAAAUGGGCUACAUUUUCUGAAUCAGAACAUAACGAAAAGUGCUAUGAAAAAUCACAAUUGAAGGUG